UACCAGCACCCCGAGUGGUCGGGACGAUUAUUGGGCCUAAAGCAUCCGUAGCCGGUCAUGCAAGUCCUCCGUUAAAUCCACCUGCUUAACAGAUGGGCUGCGGAGGAUACUACAAGGCUAGGAGGCGGAAGAGGCAAGCGGUACUCAGUGGGUAGGGGUAAAAUCCUCUGAUCCAUUGAAGACCACCAGUGGCGAAGGCGGCUUGCCAAUACGCGCUCGACGUGAGGGAUGAAAGCUGGGGGAGCAAACCGGAUUAGAUGACCUUGUA
rnacentral:rRNA from 1 species